ACGGCGAGUGAAGCGGCAACAGCUCAAAUUUGAAAUCUGGCCUCUGGCCCGAGUUGUAAUUUGCAGAGGAUGUUUCUGGCGAGGUGCCUUCCGAGUUCCCUGGAACGGGACGCCAUAGAGGGUGAGAGCCCCGUACGGUUGGUCGCUAAGCCUCUGUGAAACUCCUUCGACGAGUCGAGUAGUUUGGGAAUGCUGCUCUAAAUGGGAGGUGUACGCCUUCUUAAGCUAAAUACCGGCUAGAGACCGAUAGCGCACAAGUAGAGUGAUCGAAAGAUGAAAAGCACUUUGAAAAGAGGGUUAAAAAGUACGUGAAAUUGUUGAAAGGGAAGCGCUCUUGACCAGACUUGCGCCGGUUGAUCAUCCGCCGUUCUCGGUGGUGCACUCUGCCGGCUCAGGCCAGCAUCAGUUCGGUCCGGGGGAUAAAGGCUUUCGGAAUGUGGCUCUC
rnacentral:rRNA from 1 species